rnacentral:rRNA from 1 species
CGCGCAGGCGGUCGUAUAAGUCGAAUGUGAAAGCCCCCGGCUCAACUGGGGAGGGUCAUUCGAUACUGUUCGACUCGAAGGCAGGAGAGGGAAGUGGAAUUCCGGGUGUAGUGGUGAAAUGCGUAGAUAUCCGGAGGAACACCAGUGGCGAAGGCGACUUUCUGGCCUGUUCUUGACGCUGAGGCGCGAAAGCGUAGGGGAAGGCAAACG